ACGCUAGCUCGAUAGGUGCCAUCUAGCAAAGACACCAUCUGUCACAACUUCCUCCCACGUUCCUCCCACAUUUCCGGUUCACGCGCGUCAAAAUUACAUAUUUUGACACGCGAUAAAUUCGCAUUGGACACGCGUCGAUGUGCGAAUUUGCACGCGUCGAGUUAGGGGCGUCUGGCGCAUUUUGAUCACGUCUAUCGCGUUCAGUGUGAACACACCGUAAAAUACCACAGCUCUAAGGUGGAGGCUGAUUAGAAGCAGAUGGCAGAGCGAUCAAGUGCAGGUGAGGCCACAGCUGUGCGGAGGAGCUUCCGGGUGGAAGGCCAUCCGAGCCACGCCCUCCCCGGAAGCGCGAACUUCCGUAAACAAACCGCGCGGCUGGGAGAGAGGAGAAACAGGGAGAGAAUACACACAAAGGUGAGGUCAUGUACUUUGAUUACCAGUCUGGCAGGGAUUAUGGUGUUAAAAGCUGAGCUAAAAUCAGUAAAGACAAGGCUGAUGUAACUGUCCUGUUGUUCUAAGUGAGCUACGGUUGUAUGGAGGGCUAUGGCAUCCUGACCUGUUCUUCCUGUGAACUGAGGAUCGAAUGUGUGAGUUCUGACCAGUUUCUCGAGACACUUCGAGAUGACUGGAGUAAGACCCACUGGCUCUGCGAGGCGCUAGAAAACUAAAUGAAAUGUUUAUUAAGGGAGAAAUGUUUCAGGAACCUGGGUUGAUAGUUUAUCUGAAGCAACAUCACAUCAGAAACACUCCCACCUCUGACCCAACUACCCAACCACAGCAGAGCGCUACUCUGGCAGGUCCAGCGUCAGCACCUGUAAACCGUCAGUGUUGAUUGGUCCGGGUCCAACAAACUGGUGGUUGGUAACCAGCAACAGCACUUCAAUGACGGGCACAAGAAGCUCUCUUUAAAAAGAAGAGUGAGGAGGUGCAGAAGGAGCUGCCUCCAGUCUGUAAGUGCUUCUGAACGUUAGCACUGCUAACACCUGCCUGCCCCACUGCCCACCCCCGGAUCCUUACAGACUUACUCUCUGGACGCUCCCUGUUGCUCUCCCAGAUCUCUUACCCCUCCAUGCCUCACCUGCUCCCGCAAAGAAUGACUUUGAGAAUUUUCCGCCUCCUAAUUCCUCGCUGGCCACAUCUCUCGGUUCCUGCACUGGUCUAGCUGUCUGGCUGUGACAUGAAGCGCUCAUGAUUCCCAGUAAAAGACUUCUACAAGAAA